rnacentral:rRNA from 1 species
GAAGGCUUCCAGUAUUUACAACUUCAUCAACCCUGUGAACAUACCUAUAACGUUGCCUCGGCGGGAACAGACGGCCCCGUAACACGGGCCGCCCCCGCCAGAGGACCCCCUAACUCUGUUUCUAUAAUGUUUCUUCUGAGUAAACAAGCAAAUAAAUUAAAACUUUCAACAACGGAUCUCUUGGCUCUGGCAUCGAUGAAGAACGCAGCGAAAUGCGAUAAGUAAUGUGAAUUGCAGAAUUCAGUGAAUCAUCGAAUCUUUGAACGCACAUUGCGCCCGCCAGUAUUCUGGCGGGCAUGCCUGUUCGAGCGUCAUUACAACCCUCAGGCCCCCGGGCCUGGCGUUGGGGAUCGGCGGAAGCCCCCUGCGGGCACAACGCCGUCCCCCAAAUACAGUGGCGGUCCCGCCGCAGCUUCCAUUGCGUAGUAGCUAACACCUCGCAACUGGAGAGCGGCGCGGCCACGCCGUAAAACACCCAACUUCUGAAUGUUGACCUCGAAUCAGGUAGGAAUACCCGCUGAACUUAAGCAUAUCAAUAAGCGGAGAAAAAU